rnacentral:rRNA from 1 species
ACGUCAUACAAUGGUCGGUACAGAGGGUUGACCAACCCGCGAGGGGGAGCUAAUCCCACAAAGCCGAUCGUAGUCCGGAUCGCAGUCUGCAACUCGACUGCGUGAAGUCGGAAUCGCUAGUAAUCGUGGAUCAGCAUGUCACGGUGAAUACGUUCCCGGGUCUU